ACCUGGCUGGCUCAUUUGGUGGAGCGAGCGACUCUUGAUCUCGAGGUUGUGAGUUCAAGCCCCACACUGGGUG
rnacentral:tRNA from 1 species